ACACAUGCAAGUCGAACGGAAAGUUUUUAACUUUAGUGGCGAACGGGUGCGUCCCCCUGUGAGAAUCUACCCUUAGGAGGAGUAUAACUGUUGGAACGACUGCUAACACUCCAUAUGUCGAGAGAUGAAAUAAUUUAUUGCCUAAGGAUGAGCUCGCGCCUGAUUAGCUAGUUGGUGAGGUAAUGGCUCACCAAGGCCACGAUCAGUAGCUGGUUUGAGAGAACGAUCAGCCACACUGGGACUGAGACACGGCCCAGACUCCUCCGGGAGGCAGCAGUGAGGAAUUUUCCGCAAUGGGCGAAAGCCUGACGGAGCAAUACCGCGUGAGGGAUGAAGGAUUUUGGUCUGUAAACCUCUUUUCUCAAGAAAGAAGUUCUGACGGUACUUGAGGAAUAAGCAUCGGCUAACUCCGUGCCAGCAGCCGCGGUAAUACGGGGGAUGCAAGCGUUAUCCGGAAUCAUUGGGCGUAAAGCGCCUGUAGGUUGUUUAAUAAGUCUGUUGUUAAAGACUAGGGCUUAACCCUAGGAAAGCAAUGGAAACUACUAGACUAGAGUAUGGCAGGGGUAGAGGGAAUUUCUAGUGUAGCGGUGAAAUGCGUAGAUAUUAGAAA
rnacentral:rRNA from 1 species